GCCGGGCGUGGUGGUGCACACCUGUAAUCCCAGCUACUCAGGAGGCUGAGGCAGGAGAAUCGCUUGAACCCAGGAGGUGGAAGUUGCAGUGAGUCGAGAUCAUGCCACUGCACUCCAGCCUGGGUAACAGAGCAAGACCUUGUCUCAA
rnacentral:SRP_RNA from 1 species